rnacentral:lncRNA from 1 species
CAACUGGAGUUUAACAUUUCUCAUUUACACAAGCACACAAGAUGUGGGAAGUUCUAUUCACAUUUGAUAGAUGUCAAAUAUAUUAUACACAGGACGGGAGGGAGGGGGUUGGAAAGAUGGACUGUCCCAUAUUUACUGAAUUUGCUUUUUUUGCACAGAUAAUAUCACAAACAAAUCAACGAAGCCUCUGAAAGAAAAGAUAAAGGGAGCGGUGAAGACGGCAUAUACACGAUGAGAACAUGUAUCAAGUUUGAAGAAUAAUUUUCAGCUUUCAACUGCAACAACCCCCUCCUUGAGAAGCAGCGCCAUCUCUUCCACCUGAUGGCCCGGGAAGGCCUCCAUAUCCAAAUUUUAUUCCAUUGGCCUGCAAAGAGUAUCCAAGAAUUAGACGGGAAUUAUAUAAAAACAAUGCAAUGAGAAUUUACUCUUUGUGGAACAGAAGCAUUUACCAAGCUUUAGGCAAACUCUGUUUACUGAUUCUUAAAACAAUGAAUUCAGUCAUGAACAGUUGUCAUCAAUAUCAAACUUAUUUCUUUUAUAAUUCGUUCUCAUAAGUACCGAACUGAUAAACAAGGACCUGACUAAAAAGAUAUGCUCAGCUUUCAUCAGUUGGCUAGUCAUCUUUCACAUCUUCCAUCAAAUUAACUUUAUUAACCCUCCUGAUAUUGGAUUCACUCCAAAGUUGUAUGGACGGGAUUCUGACUUCUCAAUCAAGUAACAAUUUCAACAUCUACAUCUCCCGAUAAAAGUUACUUUCACCAGUCAAAAGUAGGAAAGAAUCAAAGAGCCUAUUAUGAGUAUUUGUGUUAAUGUCUUUCUUACAUAAUUUACUGAGUACCUUCUACAACAGGUAAUACUAGUUGAAUAUGCCACAGUAUAUUUCACAGAUAUUUCAGGGAAUAGGGAUCACAGAAGCUGUAAUAGCAUUGAGUCAGGCAUAGCACUUGAACCAGAUUAGACAUGUAUCUGGAGGAUGGUAUCCCCAGUGGUUGAUGUUGGUUUAUGACUUAUGGGCAGCGUUGGGUAGUUCACCUGAUUAGUUGUGGAUAAAUUCUUGGUUUAUGACUUAUGAGCAGUGUUGGCUAGUUCACCUGAUUAGUUGUGGAUAAAUUCUCAUACCUUUACAGGAACGACGAUCCUUGGAUUGUUUCCAUUAUAAAAACAACAACAACAACAACAACAACCCAGUAUAAUCCCACUUAGUGGGGUCUGGGGA